AAACUCUGUGAAAAUGGCUGCAAUAUUCAUGUUACUAAGGAAAAAAAAUCAUGAAUAAGUGGUUGUUAUGAGUCCAUUCAUGCAAAAUACAAGUGAGUUGAAGUGGUUGUUAUGAGUCCAUUCAUGAAAAAUACAAGCGAAGUGAUUGUUAUGAGUCCAUUCACGAAAAAUACGAUUGUUGUGAUGUGAAGUGGUUGUUAUGAGUCCAUUCAUGCAAAACACAAGUGAAGUGUCAUGCUUCCUAAACCUUAUAAGAGCUAAUACUGCUCCUCUGCUAUAACAUGACACACCCAAACUGAAAAAUUCAGCUCCUAUGAUACACACCAAAAUAUGACAAGUUGAUUGUACCGGCCUACGUUUGUGGCAGAUGUUUUGGCAGCGAUAUAACAAGCCAAUCUUUAAUAUCCGGAACAUUCUCAAUCAUCCGACGAUCACUCUCAGGACGCUGUUGAAUCCUAGCAAACUAGGCAAUGCAGGCGGUAAUUUUUUUUCAUUUAUUUUAUUAAUGUUUGAAAUUAUAAAUUUUAUGAAAAUUUAAGUUUUUACAAAAGUUUAACAUAAUUUGAUACGUAUUGCUCUUGCAGUUGUAUCUGUGAUGGCUAUAACAUCGUCAUCACUUGCGCAGUGAACUGUAAUUGUGAAGAGGUUGGAAGUGUAAUCAUGAUAAUGAUAUGGGAAACACAUGUUUCUCCCAAUAAUAUCACACACUCUUUUCUUUGGAGGUUUAGAGAUCAUGUACUUAACAAGGUGUUUGAUAUAAAGACUUAAGAAUGCUUAGAAUCUACAAUUAAAGUUGGGAUGACUUAUGAGCUUUUGUAAUUUCUUUUAGCUGAAAGAAAUUACAAAAGUUCAUAAGUCAUUCCAACUUUAAGCAUUCUUUGCUGAAAGAACUUUAAGCAUUCCUUGUUAAGGUAUAUCAAAAAUUUUGUUAGAUACAUAACAAAGAUAUAUCAAAAAUUAUGUCAGAUUCAUAAUCUUUAAUCCAUGAUAAGAGUGUGGGAUAUUAUUAGGGGAAUAUGUGUUUUCCAUAUCAUUAUCAUGAUGACAAUAAGAAAUGAUGAUGUUAUAGUCAUCACAGAUACGACUGCAAGACUAUUACGGAUCAAAAUAUGUUAAACUUGUAUAAAAAUUUAAGUUGUCAUAAAAUGUAUGAAUUCAAACAUUAAUACAAUAAAUGAAAAAAAAUUCCGAUAUGCAUUGUCUAGUUUACAGGAUUUGUGAAUCCAGGAGUUACUACAACACAAGAAAGCAUUAACAAAAUAUGAAGACAAGUUUACAUACCAGAAACAACCCUUUUGUUUUUGUAAGGUUAUUUCUGGUAUGCACACUUGUCCUUCAUAUUUUGCUAAAAAUUCUUGUAAACCUGAACCGUGCAAUGUCAGUUCCUCAGGAAAGUCAUCAAAGAAUGCCGGAGGAAAUGCGGCUGCAAUAUUCUCUGUGGAAAUUGAGAGGUACCAGAAAUCUGCAGACUGCAGGCUGCAGCCAACAUAGCCCUUGUUGGGAUAGUUUGCAUGGACUUUUGGGAAGAUUUUGUGAAGCUAAAGCAAAUGUGAGAGGAUGAUUUGAACAAAAGUGGAGCUAAAGCACAUGCAAAAGGAUUUGAUAUUAGAUCAUGAUACUUUUGAGUUUACAUACUUAGAUUUCAACAAGUUAGGAAGUGUGCAAGUCUUAAUUUGGUGCUCUGUCUUGGUUGAUGGUUUGUUUAUUCUGAGUUUUUAUGUGAACAAAGAGUUUUCCUU